UCUCUGUGCUGUCUUCCAUCCCUGGGAGGGAUGUUCUGCCCAGGGAGAAGGCCCUGGCCUGUCUGGAGCCAGUUCCCUGUCUUCAUUGCAGAUCCCCCACAGGACCUGAGAGUGACUGUUUCCCAAGCAAACAGGACAGGUAGAAACGAUGGACAGAGGAAGCUGGGCAUCUGCGUGGGGAAUGGGAGGCAUCCCAGUUGAUGGGCCACCUGGCAACUCUGCCUUCUGUUCUCCCCCAGUGUUGGAAAUCCUCAGGAAUGCCAUCUCCCUCCCAGUCCUGGAGGGCCAAAGCCUGUGCCUAGUCUGUGUCACCUAUAGCAAUCCCCCAGCCAAUGUGAGUUGGGCUUGGGUGACACAGACCCUGAUCCCAAUCCAGUCUUCAGAGCCUGGGGUACUGGAGCUGCCUCUGGUCCAGAGAGAACAUGAAGGAGAAUUCACCUGUGCUGCACAGAACCCACUGGGUGCCCAGCGCAUCUCUCUGAGCCUCUGUGCACUACUUGCCCCAGAUGUCCAGCCCCUCCUGCUCCUGGGAGGCCGAGGGUCUGCACUGCAACUGCUCCUCCAGAGCCUGGCCUGCCCCCUCCCUGCGCUGGCGGCUGGGGGAGGGUCCCAGAGUGAAGACCUGUAGAGUGGUCACUCACUGCCAAGAUGGUUACCGCCAGGAACGAAAUGCUGUCUGACCUGGAGCUUGUCUGAAAGAGUCAGAGGGAUCCUGAACAUCCACCUUGGCCUCCCGGGUGCAGCAAUGUGUACUUUGCAGACAGGUUGUCCCAAGCCUCAGCUUCUCUAUCUGCUGAGUGAGGAUGCUAGUGUCUCCUGCUAUACAUGUGUGAGAUUUCAUGAAACUCGCCGUCAGCAACAGAGAACCCAACGUUACUACCAUGAAAUAAAUAUACACAAAUGAGU